UUUAUUCUGGAGACCCCCCAGACCCCGGGGGUUUAAUUUGGGGAGGGGUCUCACAGGUUUUUAACCCCCCCAGACCCCCGGGGUUUAUUCUGGAGACCCCCCAGACCCCCCGGGGUUAAUUUGGGGAGGGGUCUCACAGGUUUUUAACCCCCUCAGACCCCCGGGGAUUAUUUGGGGAGGGGUCUCCACUGCUCCCCCCACAGGUUUUUGUCCCCCCCAGACCCCCAGGGUUAUUUUGGGGAGGGGUCUCGCCGGUUUCUGACCCCCCCAGCCCCCGGGGGUGUUAAUUUGGGGAGGGGUCUCCCCCCUAGACCCCCGGGGAUUAUUUGGGGAGGGGUCUCCACUGCUCCCCCCACAGGUUUUUGUCCCCCCCAGACCCCGGGGGGUUAUUUUGAGGAGGGGUCUCGCAGGUUUCUGACCCCCCCAGCCCCCGGGGGUGUUAAUUUGGGGAGGG